rnacentral:rRNA from 1 species
GGGCAACUCCGGUUCAGUGGCAGACGGGUGCGUAACACGUGAGGAACCUGUCCGACGGUGGGGGAUAGCCGGCCCAACGGCCGGGUAAUACCGCAUACGUUCAUUUGGGGGCAUCCCUGAAUGAGGAAAGCAGCCGCAAGGUUGCGCCGAUGGAGGGUCUCGCGGCCUAUCAGCUAGUUGGCGGGGUAACGGCCCACCAAGGCGACGACGGGUAGCUGGUCUGAGAGGAUGGCCAGCCACAUUGGGACUGAGACACGGCCCAGACUCCUACGGGAGGCAGCAGUGGGGAAUCUUGCGCAAUGGCCGCAAGGCUGACGCAGCGACGCCGCGUGUGGGAUGACGGCCUUCGGGUUGUAAACCACUGUCGGGAGGAACGAAUACUCGGCUUCGAAUAGGAGCCCGAGGGUGACGGUACCUCCAAAGGAAGCACCGGCUAACUCCGUGCCAGCAGCCGCGGUAAUACGGAGGGUGCGAGCGUUGUCUGGAAUCACUGGGCGUAAAGGGCGCGUAGGUGGCCCGUUAAGUGGUCGGUGAAAUCCCGGGGCUCAACUCCGGGGCUGCCGAUCAGACUGGCGGGCUAGAGCACGGUAGGGGCAGAUGGAAUUCCCGGUGUAGCGGUGGAAUGCGUAGAGAUCGGGAAGAAUACCAGUGGCGAAGGCGUUCUGCUGGGCCGUUGCUGA